CAGAGAGGUGCAGUGGGAGAGCACAGGGCCCACUCCCCAGAAGCUGAUGGAUCAAACUGUCUUCUGCUGCAGCCCUCUGCUUUCCACGUGUGGACUGCUGCCCCUCUAGAGCUCGGGCCAUGGACUGCCAGGGAUGUGCACCCAGAAACCCUGAGGGAUCAAGGGAGCAUGUGAGAACAGCAAGGGAAGCAGCAGCACAGGAGACAGGCAAGGUGAAAGAGAUUCUUGCCCUAGACUUAUGGGAAUGGCUGAACAUGAGACACUGGACAGAGGAUAUCAACCGCAAUUUAUUAGUCAUGUAUACUCACAGCCCAGGGGAGGACACCGCACACCAAGCAGGGUCACUUGGGGUUGCACUUGGGAAAAGAAUGAACAAGCAGGGGCUGUAGGGGCAAACUUUGUAGUAAGAAGACCACGGAGUGAGACCUGGUUCCUGCAGGAGAGUGUGAUGGGCUUGUCUGAAUGAUUCUGUGGGUUGAUAGGGAACUGAAGCCUGCUGAACUCUGUGUCUGGUCCCUGUGAUAAGAAGAGUUGUUUGGUUAGGAGGCCUUAGCUCUGAAAUAAGAGGGAGUGGGGAACUUGCUGUUAGGCCAUUUGAGGCUCCCUGAUUUUGCCAGCUGUCAUGACAGCUCUUAAUAGUGAAUCUUAAUUUCCAACUUUAUAUCAUAGGAAAUUAUUAAAAAGCAUUUUUUUCUAGAACUAAUAAUUGAAUCAAACAAUGACACAGGCUCUAAAAUAAACAAAAGUCAGCUGUAUUUCUAUACUGGUAGUGAACA